UACAGAGGUCCCGAGCGUUGUUCGGAUUCAUUGGGCGUAAAGGGUGCGUAGGCGGCGGGGCAAGUCUGAUGUGAAAUCCUGGGGCUCAACCCCAGAACUGCAUUGGAUACUGCUUUGCUAGAGUACUGGAGAGGGAACUGGAAUUUACGGUGUAGCAGUGAAAUGCGUAGAGAUCGUAAGGAAGGCCAGUGGCGAAGGCGAGUUCCUGGACAGUGACUACGUGAGCACGAAGGCCAGGGGAGCAAACGGG
rnacentral:rRNA from 1 species